rnacentral:rRNA from 1 species
UGGUGGCGAGUGGCGAACGGGUGAGUAAUAUAUCGGAACGUACCCGGAAAUGGGGGAUAACGCAGCGAAAGUUGCGCUAAUACCGCAUAUGCCCUGAGGGGGAAAGCGGGGGAUCCGCAAGGACCUCGCGUUUUCGGAGCGGCCGAUAUCGGAUUAGCUAGUAGGUGGGGUAAAGGCCUACCUAGGCGACGAUCCGUAGCUGGUCUGAGAGGACGACCAGCCACACUGGAACUGAGACACGGUCCAGACUCCUACGGGAGGCAGCAGUGGGGAAUUUUGGACAAUGGGCGAAAGCCUGAUCCAGCCAUGCCGCGUGAGUGAAGAAGGCCUUCGGGUUGUAAAGCUCUUUCAGCCGGAAAGAAAGCGCAUGGGGUGAAUAACCUGUGUGGAUGACGGUACCGGAAGAAGAAGCACCGGCUAACUACGUGCCAGCAGCCGCGGUAAUACGUAGGGUGCAAGCGUUAAUCGGAAUUACUGGGCGUAAAGCGUGCGCAGGCGGUUUCGUAAGACAGAUGUGAAAGCCC